UGAAGCAGAUGGUGGUGAUGUGUAUGAAGCAGAUGGUGGUGAUGUGUUGCUUCAUACACAUCACCACCAUCUGCUUCAUACACAUCACCACCAUCUGCUUCA
rnacentral:pre_miRNA from 1 species